rnacentral:snoRNA from 1 species
GGUGCAAAUGAUGAUUUUAUAGCGACCAAAGCCUGAAUGCUGGUGAUUGCAAUCUAUUAGUAGCUGAUGCACC